rnacentral:rRNA from 1 species
GAUGAACGCUGGCGGCGUGCCUAAUACAUGCAAGUCGAGCGAACAGACGAGGAGCUUGCUCCUCUGACGUUAGCGGCGGACGGGUGAGUAACACGUGGAUAACCUACCUAUAAGACUGGGAUAACUUCGGGAAACCGGAGCUAAUACCGGAUAAUAUAUUGAACCGCAUGGUUCAAUAGUGAAAGACGGUUUUGCUGUCACUUAUAGAUGGAUCCGCGCCGCAUUAGCUAGUUGGUAAGGUAACGGCUUACCAAGGCAACGAUGCGUAGCCGACCUGAGAGGGUGAUCGGCCACACUGGAACUGGGACACGGUCCAGACUCCUACGGGAGGCAGCAGUAGCGAAUCUUCCGCAGUGGGCGAAAGCCUGACGGAGCAACGCCGCGUGAGUGAUGAAGGUCUUCGGAUCGUAAAACUCUGUUAUUAGGGAAGAACAAAUGUGUAAGUAACUAUGCACGUCUUGACGGUACCUAAUCAGAAAGCCACGGCUAACUACGUG